UACGUAGGGGGCUAGCGUUAUUCGGAAUUAUUGGGCGUAAAGGGCGCGUAGGCGGCCGCCUAAGUCCGACGUGAAAUCCCUCGGCUCAACCGGGGAACUGCGUCUGAUACUGGGUGGCUUGAAUCCGGGAGAGGGAUGCGGAAUUCCAGGUGUAGCGGUGAAAUGCGUAGAUAUCUGGAGGAACACCGGUGGCGAAGGCGGCAUCCUGGACCGGCAUUGACGCUGAGGCGCGAAAGCCAGGGGAGCAAACGGG
rnacentral:rRNA from 1 species